UGGGGAAUCUUUCACAAUGGGGGCAACCCUGAUGCAGCGACGCCGCGUGAGCGAUGAAGCCCUUCGGGGCGUAAAGCUCUUUCGACCGGAACGAUAAUGACGGUACCGUGAGAAGAAGCUGCGGCUAACUACGUGCCAGCAGCCGCGGUAAUACGUAGGCAGCAAGCGUUGUUCGGAGUUACUGGGCGUAAAGAGUGCGUAGGCGGUUUUCUAAGUUCGGUGUGAAAUCUCCCGGCUUAACUGGGAGGGUGCGCCGAAGACUGGGAAGCUGGAGUGUGGGAAAGGCAGGCGGAAUUCCUGGUGUAGCGGUGAAAUGCGUAGAUAUCAGGAGGAACACCGGCGGUGUAGGCGGCUUGCUAGACCAUAACGGACGCUGAGGCACGAAAGCGUGGGUAGCAAACA
rnacentral:rRNA from 1 species